rnacentral:rRNA from 1 species
UACGUAGGUGGCAAGCGUUGUCCGGAUUUACUGGGCGUAAAGAGCGCGCAGGCGGUCGUUCAAGUCGCGUGUGAAAGCCCCCGGCUCAACUGGGGAGGGUCACGCGAUACUGAUCGACUCGAAGGCAGGAGAGGGUAGUGGAAUUCCCGGUGUAGUGGUGAAAUGCGUAGAUAUCGGGAAGGAACACCAGUGGCGAAAGGCGA